rnacentral:misc_RNA from 1 species
AAAAUAGAUGAAUUUCAUUAUAUAUUUUAUAUCUUGGUAUAUGAUAGGACCGAGAUUUAUGUACAACAAAUCCAGCUGGGCCAAAAAGGAAAAAGGCUAAUGGAUUCCCUUACAUAGGGACAUAUAUGAAAGAGUAAAAAGAAGAGAAAAGAUCAUCAAUAAAUUAAUUCAAUACCCAAAAUUCCAAGUACUAAUAGACACAGAUUAGGGAACAUUACAACAAACAAGCAUAUUAUUACAUAGCACACCAUUAGCAACCUCAGUUUCCUGCCUCCAUUCCAAUGGUGAAACACAAGCAAAGUCAAUCAAAUCAUCAGUUAUGAGAAAAAAUGAGAUGAUCCUCAGAGCCUAUCAAUGUCUUCUCGCAAAUGCAAUGCAUCUAACAUCCUUAAAAAACGAAAAAUAAAUAAAAAAGAAUCUGCUGCAGAGAACAUGAAACUACAGUUCAGAAUAUUGUCCAAAGAGUAAAUUUUUGUCGCAUAAAAAGUUCGAGAAAAGAAUGUCAACUCUUUAGAAAACAUUGGUUUGUAGAUCCAGGAGUUCAAGAUCAAUGAGUUCAGCUUCCUUUUCAGCUUCAGUCUCAAAAAGAGGAGCAUCAAGCUCAGGAGGAUUCAGACAGCGAACUAAUGCCCAAUUAACACCCUUGAAGAAUGGAUGCCUCUUAAUCUCAUUUGCUCCUUCGUGUGAACCUAAUCUCUUCUUGGGAUCUCUGUGCAGUAACCGAUACAUUAACUGCUUUGCAUUAAAACUAACCUGCACCAGUCACUAUAUGCAUUAACAUCUUACAUUCACUUUGUAUGGGAAAUGUUAAGCAAUCUGGACCAUAUAUUGAGGUUUCCAAAUGUAGUCCGAGGUGACAUGACUGCAAUCUGGAAUGUUCGUGGGUAGUUAUUGAUGUUUAAUUGCUCAUUAAUAGAUGUUGAGUGAGUGAGAGAUGAUCUCACCUGCCCACUUCUUGGAAAUUUAAGAUCUUUGUGAAGAAUAUUGGCAAAUGUGUUUUGCCUUGUCUUUCCCCUAAAUGGUGUAUGUCCGUACAGCAUUUCAUAUAGAAGGAUACCAAGAGCCCACCAGUCCACUGCACUGGUAUGGCCUGCCCCAGUUAUAAUUUCCUGAUAAAGAAUAUAAUGGAAAUUUAGAAUCACUAAACGAAAUUGAAGAAGCAAAGUCAUGAGAAGAUACAUGCAGCUUAACCCCAAGAAGAAAAAAUGAAAAAUGAGGGUGGCUGGAAAGUUUUAAAUUUGAACCUUCCAAAAUUAUGUUUGGCAUUUUUUUUUAACUCGAUCAAGAAUUAUCACCUUCAGCAUGGCUCAGACCAACUUGGAAUAUGAAAAUCUUGAAUUUGGAAUUUCUAUUAUAUACUUAAAGAUUGACAGAUGAAUGACUCUUAGCCAGUAGGUGAACCUCUAGGUGUACAUUGUCAGAUAAUGAUACAUGCAAUCACUUUGCUGCUUGGAUGACUAAGGAUUAUUUACAGAAUAGGCAGAUUGAAAUAAAACGAACCGGGGCUAUAUACUCUUCAGUGCCAACAAAAGAAUUUGAAGCUCUGAUGGGUUCAGCCAUAAAUACUGGAGGUUGCUGCUGACGUUUAUGGCGCUUUUUCUUUUCAUUUAUACUUGGAAUCAAAAGCUGUGGUUUGCAUGAUGUCAAACAUGAUAGAUCAAAAUCUGUUAAGGACACAUGUCCAUUACUCUGAAGUAAAACGUUUUCAGGCUUUAAAUCCCUGUAUAUUAUCCCUUGACAGUGAAGGUACUCCAAUGCAACAACUACCUCUGCAGCAUAAAAUCUGUGAUCAUCAAACAUUUAUGUCAGGGAUGUAGGAGGGUUAUCACAUAAGAGUCAAAAAAGUAACUAGACCCCUCACAUAGAGACCACCAAUAUUUUGAAAAUGAUUUUUCCUUUAACAGGAUCAAAUUUGCAUUUUUUGUAGGACCAAAUUCAAAGAAUGAUGCAUAUCCGAAAUCUUGAAGUAAAGAACAGCUAAAAAAAAAUUAGAAAGAAAAAGAAAACAUUAAUGCGAGUGCUAAGUUUUAUUACUAGUGGAUAUUGUAAACAUUAAUAUUAUAUUUUUUAUUUCCAACACUUCAUAGUGAACCUUUUUGACAUUUUGUACUUCCUUUACCUCACAGCAUCUUCCUUAAGUACUUUUGUUGGUUGUCUUUCCAAAAGCAUGAAGAGCUCACCACCAGGGCAGUAAUCAGUUAUCAGACAAAUAUGUGUUUUCGUCUGAGAAGUAAGAGAACAUUAGGAUUUGAAGCAUGAAAAUAAUUCAAGUCAAUUAGCUAACUUCGGAAUUGAAAAUCACAUAGAUGAGCAUCUAACUUGCAUUCAAUUUGCAAAGACUGCUGGUGCUUGAUUAAAAAUAUCUACUAUCAACCUAGCUUAUGCCCAUUUUCUAACCUGAAAUGAAGCAUAUAAUGCAGGAAGGAAAGGGUGAUCCAACUUGUCAAGAAUUUCUCUUUCUGCACAAGCUCUAUGCACCUGCAUUGAAGAAAAGAAGUCGUGUACGACAAUAGAGAAUUCCAGAAGCUACAGAAGCAGCUAAAACAAUGUAAAUUCUAAACUUGGCUUAUUCAGAAACUAUCUAAUACUUACACUUUGUAAUCAUAUACUAAUUUAUUGUUCCAAGUCAUCCACAAGACCAGAAGAAAGAUAUAAACGUAGUUAUCAUAAUUCAAUUCUUAUACCUUAUUGCGGUUGAGCAUAACAUUCUUAUCCAUAGCUUUCAUGGCAAAAAACUGACCAGUUCCACACAAUUCUACCAAAUGCACACUGUCAUGCCAAUUGACAAGUCAGAUAGAAUAUCUAAGAGACGGUAAAAUAUAAGAAAUGGAGGGUUAUUGAAAAAUUCUCAGAUGCAUUCUAUAUUCUUUGUUACCACUGCAUUGGAAUAAAACCAAUGCCACGUUUUCCGCAAAUUUGAAUCAGUUCUACAGAAAAAUCCAAAAUUACUUGAUUGUGAUUUACAUUGUUUCAGAUACACAAAACUGAAAAAGGAUACAGGAAAAAGAAGAAAGACAAACCUGCCAGUGUCACCAGAACCCAAGGGUUUUAUUGGCCUAAAAUGUUUCAGUCCUAUUUGUUCUCCAUUGUCUAAGAUCUGCAGGGUUAUGUAUAUGAACCAAUGCGAUUAAACAGGAAAAACAAGUCCAUUGGAGAACAAAUUCUUUUAAUGAUUAUGGUCAUUUAGAAAUAUCAGAAAGAUAUUUUUAGGACUUAUAAUGCUGAUGCAGUAAGAUCACAAAUAUCAAACCACCUAUGAAGCUUUCCAGGAGAAGCAUCAGAAACACUGAAAGAUUAAUACCGUUUGAAUUGCUUUCCAAGAGGGGGUAUCCUUCCUAUGAGGCUUUGGAAUAACAACCUUUGAAUGGUUUGCCCACAAAUCUUCUGGUUUCAAAUUGGCAUCUGGAAGUUCUCUCACUGCUUCAUCAACAUUUUCUGCAGUUUGUUUCACCAGUUUUUCACUCUCUUGUGCAGUUUCCUCUGCAAUACAGUUGAUGCGAGGCUCAACGUGCUCACUGCCAUCUAGUUGUACUCCAAUGAAAUACUGUACUUCUCCCUUUUGAUCGCGCAUAGGUUGCAGAUGGAACAGGUUCCAGAACUUCUUGCCACUCUUUGUAUAGUUAAUGAGCUGAACAGUAACAUCUGUCUGGUUAUCAAUUGCCUCUCUUAUUUUCCUCACAGUAGCUGGAUCAGUUUCAGGCCCUUGCAAAAAUCUGCAAUUUCUUCCCAAGAUUUCUUCACGGCUGUACUCUGUCAGCUCUAAGAAGCUAUCAGAGGCAAAUAUAAUGGGAUUAUCUGGUAGCCUUGGAUCAGUAAUGACAAAGUUUUUCUCUAUACGUUCAAGUGUUGUAGCGAGAUCGAUACCCUUUCUCAUUUCCUUCUUCCUUACUUUGUCAUCAACACUAUCAAGCCUUGUAUCAUCAUCACUCAUCCCCUCUUCUUCAUCAUCAGCAUUGAAAACAAGUUCAUCAUCCAAGCUCUCAGCUUUGGAUUGUGUGCUUUUCCUCAUGAACCCCAUUAAAGAGUGGCGGAUAGAUUUUCUUGGUUUCUUCUCUGGCAACUCAUUUAUAUGCUGCAUUGAGCUUUUAGUGCCCCCAGGAGAACUCCGUCUACUUGAAGAAGGUAAAUUCUCGGAGUUUCGCUUUCCCAGAGCUCCUUUUCUUUCCUCUUCUCCACCACCUUCAGAUUUCCUCACCAAGGGGUGAUUAGUAGAUUCACUAAGUGAACGAGGUCCCUUCACUGCUUGAACAAGUUCAUUUACUGAACUUGCAGCCAUCUCCUUCUGACGUGCAUCAUAUCGGAUCAAAGAUUCAGGCAAUCCAUUGGGACGCAAUGUCUUAUCCUUGGACCCCUCUGUAUACUUGCUAACCUCCACAAGCAUUCCAAUAUAUUUGAGAACUUUCCCAGAAUCAUCCUUGAUUGGAGCAAUAGUAAGAAGGUUCCAAAAUGGUGUCCCAUCUUUCUUAUAAUUCAGCAGUCUCCCACAGUAACUAUUCCCUGCCCGCAAGGCCUCUCUUAUUUUAGCUACGUCUUCUGGGUCCGUACCAGCACCUUGUAAAAACCGACAGUUCCUGCCUAUGACUUCUUUAGAGGUAUAUCCAGUCAUUCUAAAGAAGCCCGCACUUGCAUACAUUAUUGGGUAGUCAGGUUUCGUAGCAUCUGAUACCACAAAUGUUUGUUGGAAGGAGGAUAAUGCAUCUUUUAUGUCUUCAGAUACUCUUGGAAUUCCUUUAAAUUCUUUUCCUCCAUCAUCCUCUGGUGAGUCCCCGGAGCUCUCAACCAAGUUAUUCGAGUUUCUUAUCGAUGUGCCCGGUUUACUGUUAUUCGGUUCAUCCCCACCCGAAGUACUCACCCCGACCCCUUGCGGCUUGCCUGUUUCAGUGUCGGUUUUCAACACUAGGCCCCACUCAGCCGCUCUUUUUGCUGCCACACCCGCUUCCCCAAAUAAUUUUGUGGUCGUCUCAGUAGUUGUUGAUUUCUUGUCAUUAUCAGAUUGUGAUUGUGUUGGUGACGACAAUAAUGGUGGUUGGGUGGAGUCUUUGAGAGCCAUCCAUGAGGUGAUUUCCUGGGUUCGAACCGACUUGGAAGAUAAACUGGAUGAAUCGGAUUUUGGGUUAUCAUUAGGUUGUUCAACCCAAGUUUGCCAAGUGGUGUUGGAGCGGAAGGCUAGGCUUGUGGGUCGGGUCGAAUAGGUGGAGGAUGGAUUGAAUACUUCAAGUGAUCCGCGAGAGUCUCUAGGCAAGGGAGGCAUUAAAGAUGACUGCUUGUUGGAUGAGUUGCCAGUUGGUUCCAUCUCUGCAUAAUACACAUGAAAAAAAAUAAGCAGCUGUGCACACAGCUAGCUCUCUUGACUGCCCAUGAGAGUGAGUGAUAACACUGUGAAACAAGGUGAAGAUAGGUGAUGUCUUCUGCUGAUUGAGGUGCUAAUUAACUUCUGGGUAUGCAAAAGGAAGCCUCUAUGGAAACUCUGGAAACGAAACUGAUCAACCUGAAAGCUUUAUAUUUAUACCUUGAAGAUGGUGGAUGCCUCACACGGUGGAAGCUAGGUGGAGAGUGGAGAGAGCAGAAAGAAACGAGAUGAUAUGGAGCAGAAAGAACUUUUGAUUGCAAGAC